rnacentral:lncRNA from 1 species
CCGAGUUGAUUUCUCAGCUGGUCACAAAACUAAUAGUUGUUACCUCAAAGACUUUAUAAUAACUAUUAGUUGAGCGACCAUCUAAUAAAUCGACCCCCAAUAAAUGUCUCAGUCCCCAUUUGAAUGAUUAUUGCCAAAACAAAGUUUGACUAGGAACUUGUUAAGCUUGUUGUUCUGCAUAUUCGAAGAAUUCAUGAAACAAAGUAAGCUGUUCUUCUGAUGAUUAUUUCUUUCCUACUCAAGGAUGCAUUGGAAAUUAGAUCAUACCUGCAUGAUCAUGCUCUGAUGCAAUACGCAGAUAAGCUUGAGGAGUCCGGGAAUUCCCUUACCGAACUUCUUAACCUAAGUACAGUAGAUCUUACUUCAAAGUUCGGAAUGAAAAGGGGCCAUGUUGCCCGUUUUACAGACAGAACUGCAGCUUUUGGGGGAGAUUCUUUUUCAGAAGCCUAUAACCGCCAAGUGAGGAGAAGAACUUCCUCGAGUAGUGAGAGUCUUUAUUACAGGAAGGAUAUUUCUCCUGUCACCUCCCGGAAGCAGAGUAUGAUGAAAUCCCUUACAAGAACCAAUACAGAUAUAUCCCUUGAACAAUCAAUGGCUGAUCUCGCGAUUAAAGAUGGACAUGUUUUUAAGGGGAUUGUAGCUUUUAAGCCAGAUGAGCCUAGAGCAUGUGGCUGUGUGCAGCCAACUCCAGUAGUAGAGAAUGUUGCUCCUUAUUCUUCCAUAGAGAAUAUCUCAGUUCAGAUACUAGCACCAGAAUACAAGAUUGGAAUGGAGCGUCUGGUGAAA